rnacentral:lncRNA from 1 species
AAAAAAACGUAAUAAACAGAAUCAUAAUGCCUCAUCUUUAACAAACACAUAAAAUUAUUUGUUUGAUAUCUCUUUACUAUUAAAUAUUCAAUUUGGUUUGCAGUUCUUAUAGGUCUGAUGACUGCAUUCUACAGAAAUUAUGACACAUCCUAUUAAAAUUAAAAUAUUUUAAGCUUGGAUUUCACUCUUGAACUUAUAUCUUACUUGGAGGUUAUUCACUAUAUAGUAAAAUAUUGAAACCAUUUAAGAUUCAAAAUUAUACACUUUAUAACCUAUUUUUUCA